UUGUUCUGGUGGUAAGCAAGCUCGGUCUCGUGCACAACUGUCAACAGCUCCAGAGACAGCCUUUAUCCAGUGAUGGCCGUGAAGUGGGGGGGCAACAUUCUUCACCAGGCAAGGCCAGAUUCCAGGGGAGAGGGAAUAUACUUCACCUCUCCAAGAAAAAAAGAUGACAAAUGCCAUGGCCAUGUCUUUCAAGGUCUGGAGUUAUCCUUGGCUUGGAUGGUCACCAAGUUUGCUUCUUCACCUUUCUCACCCAAACACACCCCAUCUGCUCCCUCCUGAAGGUGUGUGAUCACAGAGAUAUGUCAGAGAACAACAACCUUUAAACUAUGAGUUGUCAUACUGGCAUAAACUGGAUCGGUGUUCCCAAAGUACUGAAAACACUGUUGGAGUUUUCUGCUUCAGAAGUCUUGACCUUUGGCCUUCAAUCGUUUAUCUCACUUUAGACUAAUGGCAAUGGAUAGUGGAAACAGAUGUCUAAUCUGUGGUGUCACAGUCGCAAGAUCUUUUCUUUAGAGAACUCAACAUACAGGGAUGCAUUGAAAUUUGUUGAAACAUCUAAGCUAUCAUUUCCCUGAAAAAGCCUUCAAGGAGAGCAGGGGAGCCCCAAGCAGGCAGUCUCAGCCUCCAUUUGCCAUAAAUUGGAAAUGACAAAGAAUGUGAUAACUGGAAUCAAUUUGCUUUGACCUUGAUGUCAUUCUCGCACUUGGAACCAUUUACUCUGUUUUCUCCCCGUGCUGGUCACAAGCACUUUCUUCUUUUUUUAGCUAUUCAUUGAGAGAACUUGAGAGAGCAGUUUGAUUUCAAGGGUGGUUUGAAGGUUGUCUGCCCAAUGGGUUUAAGAGGCCUUUGCCACUUUGCUGUUUUCAUCUUCUUUGUUCUUUGUGUCUAUUACUAUGACUUCGGGUUUGGUGUUAAGAUGUGUGGGUGUGAGCACGUGUGUGUGUGUGUGUGUGUGUGUUAUUUGUUAUAGAUGGUUAUCUUUAAUUGCAGAAUGAUGCUUUUGAGAUGGCAUAUCAGUUUUGGUUAAAUUUUUGAAGGAGUCAUGCUUAUUAUCUUGGUAUGUUUUGCUUGAGUAGAGAUAAGUGUCCUUAUACUCCUUUUUAACACCAAAAAAGAUGGCUAUAAUAACAGUUGGAUCCUGUUUUUACAUAGGAUAUCCAAAAUAGGAAAUUAUCAUUGAGCAAAGUGUACCCGGCAAGAAAUAUUUUCAUAGUUUGCUAUUGUUUUAUGAAUCUUUAAUAUAUUUCCAUUCUGAUGUUAGGCUUGGUUU